rnacentral:rRNA from 1 species
UACCAGCACCCCGAGUGGUCGGGACGAUUAUUGGGCCUAAAGCAUCCGUAGCCGGUUCUACAAGUCUUCCGUUAAAUCCACCUGCUUAACAGAUGGGCUGCGGAGGAUACUAUAGAGCUAGGAGGCGGGAGAGGCAAGCGGUACUUAGUGGGUAGGGGUAAAAUCCGUUGAUCCAUUGAAGACCACCAGUGGCGAAGGCGGCUUGCCAGAACGCACUCGACGGUGGGGGAUGAAAGCUGGGGGAGCAAACCGG